rnacentral:rRNA from 1 species
AUCAGACUUUGAGAGNAGUUCAAGAGUACGUGAAACUGCUCAGAGGUAAACGGGUGGGCCCUCGAAAUCCUGUGGCGAGAGGAUUCAGUCUGGCGUCUGCGUUGAACUGGUGGAAACCGAGCAGGGCUUCCCGGAACGGGGCCGUCUGCCGGUUCAUUUCGCGGGUGCCAGACGCACUUGUCUCUCGUCCGAAGGACGCCGCAGCCGGUCGGGCAGUGCAAGCGCGACGGCCUGAAGGCGGGGAAAUGGCAGGUGGCCGGUGUGCAGUCUAGGCUGUUCGCCGGUUGUUAGCCGUCCCCGCAGUGGCUCGUCGCCCGACCGAGGUGUCACGAGGCCCUCAUGGGCUCCAUCGCCUCCUCCUUGGGUUUGCGGAACGGAAGGUCGCAGGCGAGCACCGCCGUCCCGAACCACUCCUCCGGAGUGGCCGGGCGAACGGGGAGCGUCGUUGGUGAUCUCGGAUCCGUCGGAGGUCGGCGGCUGGCGGCGAGUAGGUCGGUCACCCACCCGACCCGUCUUGAAACACGGACCAAGGAGUCUAACAUGUGCGCGAGUCAAUGGGUCUUGAACAGGCCCAGGGGCGCAAUGAAAGCAAAGGUCUGCCUGACGCAGACCGAGUUGGGAUCCCGUACUGUAAAAUUGAUGGGCACAACAAAAACCUGUCCUGUCCGUCUCCCCUGUGGGGCAGAGUGUGAGCAUACACUUUGACACCAAAAAUAUGGUAAACUAUGCCCAGACAAGAAGAAGCCAGAAAAAACUCUGGUAGAUGUCCACAGCGUUUCUGACGUGCAAAUCUAUCGUCAUAUCCGGAUAUAGGGAAAAAAAAAAAANAAAAAAAA